GCGGUACUCUGACCGUGCAAAGGUAGCAUAAUCAUUUGCCUUAUAAUUGAAGGCUAGUAUGAAUGGUUUGACGAGAAUUAAGCUGUCUCUUCUCAAUUAAAUAUAAUUUUAUUAACAGGUGAAGAAGCCUGUGUGUUAUUGAAAGACAAGAAGACCCUAUCGAGCUUUAAGGAAUUCAAUAGAUUUAUUAUAUAUUUAUAUAAAUAUAAAACUAUUGAAAACUUUGGUUGGGGCGACUGAGGAACAAAAAAAGCUUCCUUUAUAUCUUUAGAACCUACAAGUAUUGAUCCAAUAAAUUUGAUUAAAGGAAUUAGUUACCGUAGGGAUAACAGCAUAAUCUUCUUUGAGAGUUCUUAUCGAAAAGGAGGUUUGUGACCUCGAUGUUGGACCAGAAUACCCAGAAGAUGUAGCCGUCUUCAAUGGUUGGUCUGUUCGACCAUUAAAAUUCU
rnacentral:rRNA from 1 species